GACGAACGCUGGCGGCGUGCUUAACACAUGCAAGUCGAACGCUGAAGCCCUUCGGGGUGGAUGAGUGGCGAACGGGUGAGUAACACGUGGGCAAUCUGCCCUGCACUCUGGGAUAAGCCUUGGAAACGGGGUCUAAUACCGGAUAGGACACAUCGCCGCAUGGUGUGUGUGUGGAAAGUUCCGGCGGUGCAGGUUGAGCCCGCGGCCUAUCAGCUUGUUGGUGGGGUGAUGGCCUACCAAGGCGACGACGGGUAGCCGGCCUGAGGGGGUGACCGGCCACACUGGGACUGAGACACGGCCCAGACUCCUACGGGAGGCAGCAGUGGGGAAUCUUGCGCAAUGGGCGAAAGCCUGACGCAGCAACGCCGCGUGGGGGAUGACGGCCUUCGGGUUGUAAACCUCUUUCGACCGGGACGAAGGAUUCGUUUGACGGUACCGGUAGAAGAAGCACCGGCUAACUACGUGCCAGCCGCCGCAGUAAAAC
rnacentral:rRNA from 1 species